GGAUUAGAUACCCUGGUAGUCCACACAGUAAACGAUGAAUACUCGCUGUUUGCGAUAUACAGUAAGCGGCCAAGCGAAAGCGUUAAGUAUUCCACCUGGGGAGUACGCCGGCAACGGUGAAACUCAAAGGAAUUGACGGGGGCCCGCACAAGCGGAGGAACAUGUGGUUUAAUUCGAUGAUACGCGAGGAACCUUACCCGGGCUUGAAUUGCAACUGAAUGAUGUGGAGACAUGUCAGCCGCAAGGCAGUUGUGAAGGUGCUGCAUGGUUGUCGUCAGCUCGUGCCG
rnacentral:rRNA from 1 species